GUGGGGAAUAUUGGACAAUGGGGGCAACCCUGAUCCAGCCAUGCCGCGUGUGUGAAGAAGGCCUUUUGGUUGUAAAGCACUUUAAGCGAGGAGGAGGCUUACCUGGUUAAUACCUGGGAUAAGUGGACGUUACUCGCAGAAUAAGCACCGGCUAACUCUGUGCCAGCAGCCGCGGUAAUACAGAGGGUGCAAGCGUUAAUCGGAUUUACUGGGCGUAAAGCGCGCGUAGGUGGCUAAUUAAGUCAAAUGUGAAAUCCCCGAGCUUAACUUGGGAAUUGCAUUCGAUACUGGUGAGCUAGAGUAUGGGAGAGGAUGGUAGAAUUCCAGGUGUAGCGGUGAAAUGCGUAGAGAUCUGGAGGAAUACCGAUGGCGAAGGCAGCCAUCUGGCCUAAUACUGACACUGAGGUGCGAAAGCAUGGGGAGCAAACAGGAUUAGAAACCCCAGUAGUCC
rnacentral:rRNA from 1 species